rnacentral:lncRNA from 1 species
UGUCUUUGAGAUUUUCUCGGAGCAGGAACAGAUGGGGAAGAGGCCAAAGCAGGAGGAGAGAUAUCAGGAUUGAAAGAAGGAAUGAAAGCAGGAUCAGUAGAAUCUGGAGCAAUAUGAUGAAGUGCUUGAACAGAUGUAGGAGGAAGAGGAGAGGAGAUAAGAAUGGAAGGGUCUGGAUCAGUGGAAUGUUCUAAAGGUGGAACAAAAG